rnacentral:rRNA from 1 species
AACGUAGGGGACAAGCGUUAUCCGGAUUUACUGGGCGUAAAGCGCCCGUAGGCGGCCUGACAAGUUGGACGUGAAAGCUCCUGGCUUAACUGGGAGAGGCCGUUCAAAACUGUCAAGCUAGAGUCUGGAAGAGGAGAGCGGAAUUCCCGGUGUAGUGGUGGAAUGCGUAGAGAUCGGGAGGAACACCGAUGGCGAAGGCAGGUCUCUGGGCCAUAACUGACGCUGAGAAGCGAAAGCAUGGGGAGCGAACGAGG